ACAGCGCGGCGGGCCAAUAGUAGGCUGCAGGAGAGCUCAUAAGGUGUGGCACAGAAGCGCGGGAGUCCUGGGCGCGGCCUGUAGAGGUGCGGUGAGGGCCGGUCCGGCUGUGACGCGGGGAGUGGCUGCCUUCGCUUUGGGCUAUAACUCAGGGUUAACACUAUUCAGCGGAUAGGGUAAUCCGGCAUGCAUUUGUGGCUUUAUACGACAUUGCUGGAAAGCGUUCUUCAUAACGUAUAGCUGAUGAAUGGCUAAUAAAACCCCACUAUGGGAAUGCAGCUUAAAGGAGCAGCCUGGGGUAGCUGCGGACAAGCGAUCCUCCUCCUUCUCUCUUCUGGAUCCCAGGGCUGGUGCAUAUGCAGUACAGUGGAAAAGGCAGCUUUUUUUGUUAAAGUUCGACUCUUCACCCUACUGUGCAAGCGGUGCAAAGAAGACAAAGGAAGAAGAUCACUCACUCGCAGCUACCCCAGGCUGAUGCAGAUUCUCCUAACAGGAGCACCAGCCUGGGGUAAAAGAUGGCGGAGGAACAUGAAUGGGAUCAAUAUAAGCAGCCUGUGCCACUUCAGGAGCAGCAGGCGACUCCCCAGCAGAUUUACAGGGAGCAGUAUGCAGGAGUCACGACUUCAGCUUUCAGUAAAUCCGAGUGCAGCCAGCACACUUCCAAAAAUCCAACUGCGUAAGUGUCUGUAAACACUUCCUUCUACAUUUUUGUUUCAGCACAAUGAUUCCCAUGUUUUUCAAUACCAAGGUGUUUCUGAAUGUUUUGCUGCCCCCACAUGUAUCAAUUUUUAAACCAGUGAGAAAAAGCCCCAUCAGAAAUCUCCCUUAGGGAUGUGCAGAUUUCACAAGCUGCUAAGGGGUUUGGAUAAAUCCCAGCACAUUUUCCAGGAUUCUGAUUUGGCUGAACAAGAAAAGUCGUGUGGUUUUUAAGGAGAAGAAAAGUCAACCAUUGCUGGGGUGAUUGUAUUCACUUACCUGAUACCCUGGGCUUGUGCUCCUAUCAGCAGAAAACUGCCCCGGCCCGGGGUUCUUCAGUGAGCACGCUUCAUACCCCCCCACCCAGCGAUUGUGACUUUCCUCCUCCUGAACAUGAGAACAUGAAUGAAGCAAUUGUUAAUAUUUUCUUAAAUGUAAUUAUGUAAAUGAAUUUAUUUCUGUACAGUUUUCAGCCAAAUUGUUUGAAUAAUUUGUUACUCGGCUAAAUCUAAAAAUGAUUGAUUGGUGCGUCAAUAACUCUAUUAGCUGCAGGCUAUAUGUUCCCAGAGACUUCAAGGUGCCUUUUUUGCAUGGUUAGUAGCAGAGCAAGAGGCAAAUAAGGAAUCGGUUUUGCAGUGUGAAAGCU